GAUGAACGCUGGCGGCGUGCCUAACACAUGCAAGUCGAGCGAGAACCGCUGGAAUGACACUUCGGUAGAAUGAAAGCGGGGAAAGCGGCGGACGGGUGAGUAACGCGUAGGUAACCUGCCCCAUACACAGGGAUAGCCUAGGGAAGCCUGGAUUAAUACCUGAUGAAGCAACUGGUCGCAUGACCGGCUGCCAAAGAUUUAUCGGUAUGGGAUGGACCUGCGUCUGAUUAGUGAGUUGGUGGGGUAAUGGCCUACCAAAGCGACGAUCAGUAGCCGACCUGAGAGGGUGAUCGGCCACAUUGGAACUGAGACACGGUCCAAACUCCUGCGGGAGGCAGCAGUGGGGGAUAUUGCACAAUGGGCGGAAGCCUGAUGCAGCAACGCCGCGUGAGCGAAGAAGGUCUUCGGAUCGUAAAGCUCUGUCCUGGGGGAAGAAACAAAUGACGGUACCCCGGGAGGAAGCCCCGGCUAACUACGUG
rnacentral:rRNA from 1 species